ACUAGAGUAGCUCAAAGGUAGAGCCGCAAACUGUUAAUUUGCUGGUUGUAGGUUCGAAUCCUACCUCUAGUG
rnacentral:tRNA from 1 species